rnacentral:rRNA from 1 species
AACGAACGCUGGCGGCAUGCCUAACACAUGCAAGUCGAACGAGACCUUCGGGUCUAGUGGCGCACGGGUGCGUAACGCGUGGGAACCUGCCCUUAGGUUCGGAAUAACUCCCCGAAAGGGGUGCUAAUACCGGAUAAUGUCUUCGGACCAAAGAUUUAUCGACUUUGGAUGGGCCCGCGUGGGAUUAGCUAGUUGGUAGGGUAAAAGCCUACCAAGGCGACGAUCCAUAGCUGGUCUGAGAGGAUGAUCAGCCACACUGGGACUGAGACACGGCCCAGACUCCUACGGGAGGCAGCAGUGGGUAAUAUUGGACAAUGGGCGAAAGCCUGAUCCAGCAAUGCCGCGUGAGUGAUGAAGGCCUUAGGGUUGUAAAGCGCUUUUACCCGGGAUGAUAAUGACAGUACCGGGAGAAUAAGCUCCGGCUAACUCCGUG